UACACAAACAAUGUAACAUUCAGUUACCUCGCUCUCUCCUUGGUGAACAUUUGAAGAAUGAAUGUGAAUAUCGCAAUGUGAAAUGUGAAUAUUGUGGUAAAGAUGUCUCGCAUGCUUUACUUAAGCUCUGUUCAAAAAUUAUUCGUCUCCUUUUGUCAAUAACGAAGAAUAUUGUGAAAUGUUUAAGUGCAGAAUUUGGUUGCUCGUCCUGCGUAUGUUAAGACAAAAAGUCUAUUUACAAGGUUACACGACAACGGAUGACAUUCAAUUUCUGAACAUCAUUGUAAAAUAUUACCA